rnacentral:lncRNA from 1 species
GCCAGAUAAGGGAAGCAGGCCUCCGAAGCCAGCAGUGGCAACCCACUUGGGUCCCUUUCAAUGCUGUGGAAGCGUUGUUCUUUCACUCUUCUCAAUAAAUCUUGCUGCUGCUCACUCUUUGGGUCUGCCCCGCUGUUAUGAGCUGUAACACUCACAGCCAGUGUCUGCAGUUUCACUCCUGAAGCCAGCAAGACCACAAACCCACAGGGCGGGACAAACAACUCCGGACAGGAGGAAUGAACAACUCUGGACGCGCCACUUCUAUGAACUUUUAUGAACUGUAACACUCACCGCAAAGGUCUGCAGCUUCACCCCUGAGGCCAGGGAGACCACGAACCCACCGGAAGGAAUGAACAACUCCAGACGCACUGCCUUUAAGAGCUGUAACACUUACCACGGAUGUCUGCAGCUUCACUCCUGAAGUCAGCGAGACCACAAACCCAACAGAAGGAAGAAACUCCCGACACAUCUGAACAUCUGAAGGAACAAACUCUGGACACACCAUCUUUAAGAACUGUAACACUCACCGUGAGGGUCAACCGCUUCAUUCUUGAAGUCAGCCAGACCAAGAACCCACCAAUUCCGGCUGAAGUGGAGUGUCAUGAUCUUGGCUCAUUGCAGCCUCCUCCUCCCAAGUUCAAGCAAUUCUCCUGCCUCAGCCUCCCGAGUAGUUGGAAUUACAGGGUUUCAUCAUUUUUGGCCAUGCUGGCCUUGAACGCCUAACCUCAAAUGAUCCACCUGCCUUGGCCUCCUGAAGUUCUGGGAGUUAUAGGCAUGAGUCACCAUGCCUGGCACCACAUAAAAUUAUUUUGUCAUUAACAUUACAUUUUAAAAUACAAACGCUGUUUUCCAUAUUACUCAGGUCAGAUCUUUUACCCCACUUCUCUCAGUGAGAUUGCAUUAUUUAUUUCCAUCUCUAUAAUCUACUGUUCAUCCAUCUAUCUAUCCAUCCCUCAAUUUAGUUUUUUCACUACAUUCUGCAUUUGAUUCUUUUGAGGGUGUAUGCUUGUGUUUGUGCGUGGAAGUGGGGGUGUGUGUGUGUGUGUGUGUUCAAAAAGGUCUACAGUUUCCUUUUUCUGUAAUAUCUGUGUCUGCUGUUGGUAUUAGGGUAAUGCUGAACUCAUAGAGUAUGUGAAAAGUUUUCUACAUUCUUUGAUUUUUCUGAAAGAAAUUGUGCAGAAUUCAUAUUAUUUCUUUCUUAAAUGCUCAAGUGUUUAUUAAAAUUUACCAGUAAAA